rnacentral:rRNA from 1 species
GUACCCCGAGGAAAAGAAAUCAACCGAGAUUCCCCCAGUAGCGGCGAGCGAACGGGGAGCAGCCCAGAGCCUGAAUCAGUGUGUGUGUUAGUGGAAGCGUCUGGAAAGGCGUGCGAUACAGGGUGACAGCCCCGUACACAAAAAUGCACAUGCUGUGAGCUCGAUGAGUAGGGCGGGACACGUGGUAUCCUGUCUGAAUAUGGGGGGACCAUCCUCCAAGGCU